rnacentral:lncRNA from 1 species
AGACAAACUCUUAAUGUAAAACCACCAUCAGAGCCACCCUGGAGUUAUGGCAAGGCCACCACAGUCUCCUCCAAAGGCCACUGAUAUGGAACUGGGAACCUCCCUCCAUAGAAUGCUAAAUGGCUGAUGUGAACUUGGUUAAGGAUCUAUAAUUCUUCUUACGAAGAGGAAAGUUCUGGAAGACCAAAGAAAAUAUGUCAUGAAAUCAAGCCAUUAAGAAGUUGUGACUCCAAAAAAGUAAAAGCGUGAGCUACUGUACACA